ACCGCUUGUAGUCAUGUCCUCCAUAAAAUAGAGCGGAAACCACGGCACGGCCAUAGGACAAGAUUCCUAUCCCCAUCGUGGAGCGAUUCGCCUCGAGGAAGGUUAGCUUCUUACAACGCAGUCGGAUUGCGAUUGAUCAGCCAUUGACUCACUUCCCCAUCACUGGAAUCGCUUGCAACUUCUUUCGUCAUGGCAAUCGACGUACAUGAGACCAUAAACGACUGUCGCUGAUGCUCUGUGCGUUUGAACGUUUCCUUGAAACGUCAAUCGCGUCGGAUGGCGAGGCAUAUGAGGACGAAGAACGAUCAAAGCAGCGAGUGAAUUUCAUCGAAUUCGACGUGGAACGGAAUAACCGAGACAAGGAAGAGUGAAAGCAUCAUCGAUCGGCUAAUUAACGACUUAUUAAGACGGAAUGGCUGCUGCUGACUAAUUGCUUUCGCCGUGACUUUCUCACAGAACAGGAGUUCACUCAGGUCGCGCUGAAGCUGCGUUCGUGAAUUCAUCCGUCAAACAGCGAUUAAAAAUCGGAGAUCGGCUUCGGUUACAGGUGACGAUACUCGUUUCCUGGGGAGGAGACGUAUCGUUGGAAAUACAGGACGAAGUAAUCGAGGGGCUCUAGACUCUG
rnacentral:lncRNA from 1 species